UCCAAGAUGGUUCAGAUGGUAAAACAUCUGUCUAUAAUGCGGGAGACCCAGGUUUGAGCCCUGGGUUGGGAA
rnacentral:tRNA from 1 species